GUGCCAGCAGCCGCGGUAAGACGGAGGGUGCAAGCGUUGUUCGGAAUUACUGGGCGUAAAGGGCGCGUAGGCGGUCUGCUAAGUUCGGUGUGAAAUCCCCUGGCUCAACCGGGGAACUGCGCCGGAAACUGGCAGACUAGAGUACCGGAGAGGAGGGUGGAAUUCCUGGUGUAGCGGUGAAAUGCGUAGAUAUCAGGAGGAACACCGGUGGCGAAGGCGGCCCUCUGGACGGAUACUGACGCUGAGGCGCGAAAGCGUGGGGAUCAAACAGGAUUAGAUACCCCGGUAGUCC
rnacentral:rRNA from 1 species